GUAGAACUUUCAGUCACCCCCAAAAGCAUCAAGUGGCCAAGUGAGGUACAUGCCAUUGUGUCCACUGUUCUCUCAUGGCAACUGGAGAUCACAGGCAAGUUCUAUCUUGGAUUCUGAAGUUCCAUGGCUUUGUCUUUUGGGCUAUCCAAGAUUGUUAGAGCAAUUUUUCUAUCCAAACUGGGUUCAGAAGUCAUGACUGAAACUAGACUGGGUCCAGGAUUUGACUGAAUCUGAUAAUUGACUGGCGUGGAUCCAGAUAGAGUCCUUGGAUAUCUGACUGGGUUGCAGACAGAAAUUGGAAGCAAUGGCAGUACUGCAGGAGGUAGGGAAAAAAGUCAUUGACUAAGUUGAUCAAGGGAAUCCAAAAGCCAAAGCCAAGAUUCAAUGUAAAAUGAGUUUCUUAGUUUCUGGAAAACUGCAUACUCCAUCUUCUGGCUACAUCUACCUACAUACAAAAUGUCUUCCAAGAGACAGAAUUAUACCUUAUCAAUCUGAAUAUGAGAUCGUGUAUUUGAAAUUCUCUAAGAGUAUUUGGUUCCUGGCAAAGUUGCAUGAAAACAGAACCAACUUUGGAACGACAGAACCAACAAGUCUGUAGGCAGACUUGGAUGUAACUUCCAUGUCAGGUAUCUCCGAUUCCUUUUCCUUUUUGAAG
rnacentral:lncRNA from 1 species